rnacentral:rRNA from 1 species
AUUGAACGCUGGCGGCAGGCCUAACGCAUGCAAGUCGAACGGUAGCACAGAGGAGCUUGCUCCUUGGGUGACGAGUGGCGGACGGGUGAGUAAUGUCUGGGAAACUGCCCGAUGGAGGGGGAUAACUACUGGAAACGGUAGCUAAUACCGCAUAACGUCUUCGGACCAAAGUGGGGGACCUUCGGGCCUCACACCAUCGGAUGUGCCCAGAUGGGAUUAGCUAGUAGGUGGGGUAAUGGCUCACCUAGGCGACGAUCCCUAGCUGGUCUGAGAGGAUGACCAGCCACACUGGAACUGAGACACGGUCCAGACUCCUACGGGAGGCAGCAGUGGGGAAUAUUGCACAAUGGGCGCAAGCCUGAUGCAGCCAUGCCGCGUGUAUGAAGAAGGCCUUCGGGUUGUAAAGUACUUUCAGCGGGGAGGAGGGCGUUAAGGUUAAUAACCUUGGCGAUUGACGUUACCCGCAGAAGAAGCACCGGCUAACUCCGUGCCAGCAGCCGCCGUAACAC